UCAGACGGAUGCGUCAUGCAUAUCAAUAAGCGGAGGAAAAGAAACUAACAAGGAUUCCCUUAGUAACGGCGAGUGAAGCGGGAAGAGCUCAAAUUUGAAAUCUUCAAGGUUUUACCUUGACGAAUUGUAGUUUAAAGAAGUGUUUUCUGCUGAAGUUUUGGUAAAAGUUCUUUGGAAUAGGACAUCAUAGAGGGUGAGAAUCCCGUAUUUGACCAUUAUUUUCAGCUUUGUGAUACACUUUCAAAGAGUCGGAUUGUUUGGGAAUGCAGUCCAAAAUGGGUGGUAAAUUUCAUCUAAAGCUAAAUAUUGGCGAGAGACCGAUAGCGAACAAGUACCGUGAGGGAAAGAUGAAAAGAACUUUGAAAAGAGAGUUAAACAGUACGUGAAAUUGUCAAAAGGGAAGCGUUUGACACCAGUGUUGUUUUCUCGAAAAUCAAUUAAAAAUGGCUCGAUUUUGUAUUGUUUGAGACCUUAAAAGCUCACUGUACAUUUUUCGUGUCUUUUUUAAUGCACUUUUCGUUUAACAAGUCAACAUCAGUUUCUUUUGUUGUAAAAGGGUCAUUGGAAGGUGGCUUUCUUUUCGGAGAAAGUGUUUAUAGCCUUUGGCCUCUGCAAUCGGAGAGACUGAGGUCUGCAGCGUAGACUCUUCGGGGUUAGAUACAUUUGUGCUAAGUUAUAGCUUUUUAUAGACAACUUGUUGACUAUAAUUAGUCUUGUAGCUUACUCGCUUAUGCUAUUUUACCUACGCUUAGGAUGUUGACUGAUAUGUAGUCGUA
rnacentral:rRNA from 1 species